rnacentral:rRNA from 1 species
UAGGGAAUCUUCCACAAUGGACGCAAGUCUGAUGGAGCAACGCCGCGUGAGUGAAGAAGGUUUUCGGACCGUAAAGCUCUGUUGUUGGUGAAGAAGGAUAGAGGUAGUAACUGGCCCUUUAUUUGACGGUAAUCAACCAGAAAGUCACGGCUAACUACGUGCCAGCAGCCGCGGUAAUACGUAGGUGGCAAGCGUUGUCCGGAUUUAUUGGGCGUAAAGCGAGCGCAGGCGGAAGAAUAAGUCUGAUGUGAAAACCCUCGGCUUAACCGAGGAAUUGCAUCGGAAACUGUUUUCUUGAGUGCAGAAGAGGAGAGUAGAACUCCAUGUGUAGCGGUGGAAUGCGUAGGUAUAUGGAAGAAUACCAGUGGCGAAGGCGGCUCUCUGGUCUGCAACUGACGCUGAGGCUCGAAAGCAUGGGUAGCGAACAGGAUUAGAUACCCUUGGUAGU